rnacentral:other from 1 species
AACAGUUCCAAGGAGAGAGUAGCGAUGUCAGCAGGUCGUGAGAGCGGUACCGUCAAGUGGUUCAACGACGCCAAGGGCUUCGGCUUCAUCAGCCGCGAGAACGGCGAGGACGUGUUCGUGCACUUCCGCGCCAUCCAGACCCAGGGCUUCAAGAGCCUGAAGGAAGGCCAGAAGGUCUCCUUCACCGUCGUCCAGGGCCAGAAGGGCCUGCAGGCCGACGCAGUGCAGCCGCUGUAAGCGGCGCGCCCCGCAAGGAAAAGAGGCCCGGCAUCGCCGGGCCUCUUUUU